rnacentral:rRNA from 1 species
GACGAACGCUGGCGGCGUGCUUAACACAUGCAAGUCGAACGGUGAAGGGACCGGUUUUUGCUGGUUCUGGAUGAGUGGCGAACGGGUGAGUCACACGUGAGUCACCUGCCCCCUUCUUCUGGAUAACCGCAUGAAAGUGUGGCUAAUACGGGAUAUUCUGCGCCUGCUGCAUGGUGGGUGUGGGAAAGAUAUUGUUUCGGUGGGGGAUGGGCUCGCGGCCUAUCAGCUUGUUGGUGGGGCGAUGGCCUACCAAGGCGGUGACGGGUAGCCGGCCUGAGAGGGUGGACGGUCACACUGGGACUGAGACACGGACCAGACUCCUACGGGAGGCAGCAGGGGGGAAUAUUGAACAAUGGGAGCAAGCCUGAUGCAGCGACGCCGCGUGAGGGAUGGAGGCCGUCGGGUUGUAAACCUCUUUCGCCAGUGAAGCAGGCCUGUCCCUUUUGUGGGUGGGUUGACGGUAGCUGGAUAAGAAGCGCCGGCUAACUACGUG